rnacentral:lncRNA from 1 species
UCACACAUUCACCACAGUCCACAGGUAGCUCCACCGCCCAGCUCGAGCCAGAAGAAAAGCACACAUGACGACCCAGCAGGAGCGGGACGCGAUGACCAGGGAGCUGCUGCGGCAGCUGGUGGUGCUCAAGAGCACGGCGCGCACGCCGGUGCAGGAGGCGAUCUCCAGGGAGCUGCUGCAGCCGCUGCUGGAGUUUCACCCGCUGCUCGCCAGAACGACGGCGGUGAUCGAGAGGGGCGCCGCGGCGGUGGCGCGCGAGCAGGGUAAGCAAGUCCUCCUUCUGAGACUCCUCUGUUUCCCUCAUCGGUUCAUUGUUAUCUUAUUAAUCUAUGUAUUUUGCGUUGUGCGUUGCGAAUCCAGAGCUGCUGGCGGAGCUGGGGAUGGCGAUGCAGCUGCCGGAGUCGGCGUCGGUGCCAGAGCUCCGCGCUCGCCUGCUCAGGGAGGCCGGGCUCGCCGCCCUGGAGGCCGAGCUCGCCCUCAGGGAGACCAAGCUCGCGCUCAGGGAGUCGGAGACGCGGCUUGAUUUCUUGGAAUCUGUCCUUGAGUCCUGGGAAAGAAGGACCGAGCCGGGAAGAAGCGGAGAAAGCACCAUUAGCCGGCAGUAGUUGAUAGAUUGAGUGGGAGUCUGUAUGUACGUAGGACGUAGCAAUAGCAGUAGCUAGUGAUAGAUAGAUCCAUCUCUUCUUUCUUUUUCUUUUUUUUGUUGAGAUGUGAUGGAAUGGAAACAUCCCUGAAUGUCAUAAUAAGGGAGCACCUAGUGAACAGUUAGCUGAAAAGUAGAACGAGUUCUAGUCGAUUUUGCAGUGGCCUGAGCUGUUGGAUGUCAGCAGUGGUCUUCCCCAGCGAGCUCCCCAUCACCUUCUCCACCCCUGCUUCUCCCCCUCCGUG